rnacentral:lncRNA from 1 species
ACGCCUCUUGUAACUCAUAACCUAGCUCUUUCCUGUAUACUAAGUCAAAGAAGAUCUUUAUCUAAAACAGGAAGUACAUAACAGAUGGCGGCUCCAUGAGCAGUUACAUUAUUAUUGAAUAAUUUUAUUAAGGGACAAAACCAGGACCAUUAGGCCAUGCAAUGAGUAGAGAUUGGUCACAUCUAAUUCAUUGUCUCAAACACAACUGAGGAAAUUAUGUUAGCUAUUAAAAAUUAAUGCAAUCUACAGAUAAAAUUAAAAGGCAAAUGUAAUGAGUGGGGACUGGAUCCUCAGGUGGUUUCUUUCACUAAACUCUGCCUGCAGGAAGUAGAACUUCACUAAUGGUCCUCAACUGAGAAUAAACGCUUCCAAACAUACUCUUUUUCAGCUAUAUUAUGUAGAUAAAUUAUCAUUUAUUCCUGCUACACACCUGUAAUUUUAAUAACUGAACUUAUCUGAGUGGAUGUCAUGACUGCUGACAGAGAAUAAUGACUUGUGAAUCAGCAGAUAGUUGCUAUCUCCGUCAUAGCCUCUGAUUUGCCAACUAGCCACAGGCAGAGUAACCUUAUCUCCCCCAUCUGGAUUUUAUCAGCUGUUUUGUGAGGUUAAUAAAAUAGUGGAGAGCUGUAAAUAAAAAGUUAUUAUAUGUGUUAUAUUACCUAUAAUAAGUAGCAGGUCUGUCACAAACUACAGAACAUUUAAAUGCAAGAGAUGCUCUAUUGGUUCACUAGUCUCUGUGGAGUAUACAAUUUGCUUGGUCUGGGGUCAGGGUGUUUUCUCCAGCCCUUCAGACUACCAGCACUCCUGCUUCAGCCACCUUGCUCUUGUAGCUGGCACCAGACAGGAGCACACAGGGGUAUUAGACCAAAAGGCACAAACAAGAUCAGGUAAGAGCGAGAUAUAUUAUCUGUGAAAGUCUGACCAUCACAUGAAUUAAUUCUGCCUUUGAAAAGUGACACCAAAUGUUAUCAACAAAGCUAAAAGGUAAUGUGUUUGGAUGCUUUAAGUGAGUCAUGUGAAGUCCAGUUUCUUGUUAUAUUACGGGUAGGAUGAUUCUAGAUGUUUUUUGCCAAGGCAGACCAGUACGGCUUUAAGUGAGGGGGAAAGAUAUGAUUGUCUGCUUGACUGGACUGUAAGUGAGCAAGAUCUCAAGACUGGUUUGCCACAGUGGUAUUUUGACAAUAUGCCUGCAAGGUCAGGCUCUACCAACAGAACUGCAUUACUGAUCUUGAUGAAGAAGUUAUAUAAAUGAAGUUGUUUAGCCAACUAAAAUGUAGUUGGGGGAACAAAGG